GGAAGGGCCAAUCCUCCUGUCCACUUUCUUGAGAGAAGGGAUGAUUGGGUUUGGAUCUGUGACAAUAUCUUUGACAAUGAGGAUUGGAAGACUCGUUCAAGAACUAAUGCACUUAAUCGUGCAAAUCUGGAGUAUGUGCACAAGCUGGGAUCUAAGUCUUUUCCACAAAAACGUCAUGAAAUGACCAAUCCAGAGACAAAUGAGAAACCCGGUAUUAUUGAUUUGUUUGAUAUCGCAUACAGAAAUAGAAAAGGAUGGUCCUCUCGUCUUGCUGAAGAAAGGCAUCAAGAAAUGAUUAAUUUGAAAAAUCAACCUAUUUCUGAAAAUGAGCCACCAAUGUCUGAGGUUGAGAUAGUUGAACAAGUUUGCCAAAAAAAAGUCCGGUUAUAUCUGUGGGAAACCUCGUGGAGUCAGACCUCCAUCUCGAAGGCAAUAUAUUAGGGGAACCAAUGGCAGCAAUGAUAGACAAAUGGAGAGCAUCGUUGCUGAGCAAAAGUCACAACUGGAGGCUGCACAUUCUAAAAUUGAGGAACAGCAAGCUCAACUUCGGCACCUACAAGAGUCAAUAGAUUGGUUGAUGGCAGAAGUGAAAAACAGGACUGUAGCUAAUGCCAAUAGCUAAUUUUAUAAAUUAGCAAGGUUUAUUUUGGAGAUUUUGGAUGGAAAUAGGCUGUGCAAUCUAGAAGGAGCCACUUGAGCUUGAAUUGUUUUUGUAGUUUGGCUUGUUUUGGAUGUGGUAGAUGAUAAAAUAUUUUUGAAGCUAGGCUUAUUUUUGUUUAAAAGGUGUAAUGGUAUGUGUUUUCCUUGCUCUAUGUGGCAAUUUGUCUUCUUGACAAAAGUCCUGUAAUUCAAUUCU